rnacentral:rRNA from 1 species
GAAAGGCGCUUUCGGGUGUCGCUGAUGGAUGGACCCGCGGUGCAUUAGCUAGUUGGUGAGGUAACGGCUCACCAAGGCGACGAUGCAUAGCCGACCUGAGAGGGUGAUCGGCCACAUUGGGACUGAGACACGGCCCAAACUCCUACGGGAGGCAGCAGUAGGGAAUCUUCGGCAAUGGACGAAAGUCUGACCGAGCAACGCCGCGUGAGUGAAGAAGGUUUUCGGAUCGUAAAACUCUGUUGUUAGAGAAGAACAAGGAUGAGAGUAACUGUUCAUCCCUUGACGGUAUCUAACCAGAAAGCCACGGCUAACUACGUGCCAGCAGCCGCGGUAAUACGUAGGUGGCAAGCGUUGUCCGGAUUUAUUGGGCGUAAAGCGAGCGCAGGCGGUUUCUUAAGUCUGAUGUGAAAGCCCCCGGCUCAACCGGGGAGGGUCAUUGGAAACUGGGAGACUUGAGUGCAGAAGAGGAGAGUGGAAUUCCAUGUGUAGCGGUGAAAUGCGUAGAUAUAUGGAGGAACACCAGUGGCGAAGGCGGCUCUCUGGUCUGUAACUGACGCUGAGGCUCGAAAGCGUGGGGAGCAAACAGGAUUAGAUACCCUGGUAGUCCACGCCGUAAACGAUGAGUGCUAAGUGUUGGAGGGUUUCCGC